rnacentral:rRNA from 1 species
GAAGGGGUUAAUUGGGAAUUUACUGGGGCGUAAAAGCGCAAUGCAAGGUUGGUUUGUUUAAAGUUCAGAAUGUGAAAAGCCCCGGGGGUUCAACCUUCGGAAAUUGCAAUUUGAAAACUGGCAAAAUUAGAGUACUGUAGAGGGGGGGUAGAAUUUCAGGGGUAGCGGUGAAAUGCGUAGAGAUCUGAAGGAAUACCGGUGGCGAAGGGCGGCCCCCCUGGACAGAUACUGACACUCAGAUGCGAAAGCGUGGGGAGCAAACAGGAUUAGAUACCCUGGUAGUCCACGCCGUAAACGAUGUCUACUUGGAGGUUGUGGCCUUGAGCCGUGGCUUUCGGAGCUAACGCGUUAAGUAGACCGCCUGGGGAGUACGGUCGCAAGAUUAAAACUCAAAUGAAUUGACGGGGGCCCGCACAAGCGGUGGAGCAUGUGGUUUAAUUCGAUGCAACGCGAAGAACCUUACCUACUCUUGACAUCUACAGAAGCCAGCGGAGACGCAGGUGUGCCUUCGGGAACUGUAAGACAGGUGCUGCAUGGCUGUCGUCAGCUCGUGUUGUGAAAUGUUGGGUUAAGUCCCGCAACGAGCGCAACCCUUAUCCUUGUUUGCCAGCACUUCGGGUGGGAACUCCAGGGAGACUGCCGGUGAUAAACCGGAGGAAGGUGGGGACGACGUCAAGUCAUCAUGGCCCUUACGAGUAGGGCUACACACGUGCUACAAUGGCGCAUACAGAGGGCGGCCAACUUGCGAAAGUGAGCGAAUCCCAAAAAGUGCGUCGUAGUCCGGAUUGGAGUCUGCAACUCGACUCCAUGAAGUCGGAAUCGCUAGUAAUCGUGGAUCAGAAUGCCACGGUGAAUACGUUCCCGGGCCUUGUACACACCGCCCGUCACACCAUGGGAGUGGGCUGCAAAAGAAGUGGGUAGUUUAACCUUCGGGAGGACGCUCACCACUUUGUGGUUCAUGACUGGGGUGAAGUCGUAACAAGGUAACCG